ensembl:lncRNA
UAUUCUCAACCUUUUUCAGCUCAUAGACUUUCUGAACUAGGUGGGCUUUCUUUGUAAUUACUAACGUCCAGGUAAUUCUGUUCCCUCAAUUUCACCCAUUUCUUCUGGAAUCUGUAUAUGUCAAACUUCUGUCACACAGGUGACUAGCAAGGCAAGGUAGUUAUCUCUACUGUAUUUCUUUUAGGGUUAUUACUUUUAAGGGGUAAAAGAUAUAUGUAAAAAACAUGACUUUCUGCUUGCUAUGAGAAAAUAUUUUGCACAUUUUUUUUGUAAAAGCAGACAGAUUCUCUGUGCACAGAUCUCUACAAGGGUGAAGGGAAAAAAGAGAAUUCCUAGUUGCAAUCAGUUUGACUUAAUAGAUACAUAAUGCAUCCACAGAGGCAUGGAACAACCUUGCUUGUUCUCAGAACUUUCUAUUUACUGUACCAGGUCCUAUAAAUUGGAAGGCAGAGACUAAUACUUUUCGUGGCAGAUCAACUGCUUAGUCAGUACUUAUUUUGAAUGAUUGUGUAUGUGCAGGGGGCCAGAUGUGUCCUUUCCAAGUGUUAACAGGGAAUUGCCAUGGUUGGUAAUUCAUGGAUCAUUUUCAUAAAGGAAGCCUCAGUCCCUUUAAAAAAAAUAAUGUAAUUUAUUGCAGUAGCUGGUGAGAAAACUACGCACAAGGCAUUUAUUUUCUUCUCAGUGCUGUAAGUUAAUGAUAAAGGUUUAGAUUUCACUUUCCAGUAUCUUUGUUAGCUUAACACAGUACAAUUUAGAGUGUACAGGGGGAGAAAUGUUCAUUUUUGUCACUGGCAAUUGUAUCAGUGAUGGUCAAAGAGUGAUAGAGGCCAGAAUACUUGAUAAUUUGCCUGCAGUGAUGCUUGUACUCCUUGGGAGUUGUUUGAAUUAAACACUACCAACCAGGGAAAAAUCAAUAAAGUUGUUUAAAUGGUUUCAGAGGGGCCUUUGCGAUGAUUGAAUAUUACUCUUCUUACAAGACCAAGAGCAGCUUUUUUUUUUGUUUCCAGUACAUGACCAGUAACUAAAAUUAUUCAGACCAAGAGUUCACAUGAAGGCUAAAGGUCUUCUUUUCUUAUUGUCUUCUUCUACUGACAGACAUUUUCAUUUUCUUUUUCUUUCUUUUAGCUAAAAUAGAACAAAUCAAUAAACCUCCCAGAAACAGCAGCAUUAACGUUCCAAAUCAUCCUUAUUUCCAGCUAAAUCUGCAGAAAAGGCCAACAGCAACACCGAUUUACACCAGCUGAGGAUACAUUCCAACAAUUCUGUGGGUCAGAUUACUUUCAAUCAGUUUGGCCAUGAAAUGAUGUACUCCACAAAAAAAGAACUGCAAACAACACAGAUUUUCACUGUACACAGUAGCAUAAAAUUUUAGUUGUAUAAUAUGGUUUGAACGCUUUUUAAUUAUAUACAACAGCCUGAAGAAAUUACCUGAAGGGAAUUCAGCAUCCAAAGCUGUGUUUUAUAAAGGACAUGGAAAAAAUAUAUAUUAGCUACUUGUUCAGAGAAAGUAAUAAAUCUGAGAAAAUCUGCAGCAUGUCCAUGUGUAGAAUUUUUUCAUUCAGAUGAACGCAUAGUCUAUGGUAGGUAGGAAUUUUUUUCAAAGUUUGUUUACAAUGAAACCUCAAUCUUAACCUUAUAAUAUGUCAGCUAAACAAGUACAAGUUUCUGAUAUUCCUAGCAGAAAUAUUAUUCAGUCUUUGCUCAUGUGAAACUAGUGGCAGCUGUCUGUACUUCUGUCUACAUCACCGUUAUUAUAUAGAGACAUAUUUCUAUAUCUAAUGAUAUAUAAUAAUAUAUCACUAUGAUAUAUAUAAUAUAUAUACAAAUAGUUGUUAUAUGCAUAUAUAAGAGAUCUGUAAGCACAAGAAUUUUAAAUUUUCACUGCAAAUCAGACAUAGUGUGGAAAAAGAGUAGAUAGAACCUAAUGAAGGGAAGUAGGACUUUUGGCUCUUCUUUGUUUUGCCACUAUUUAACAUUUAACAUAUGUCUUGAUUACCUUGCUAAAAUAACAAAAGUAACAAGAACCUGUAACUAUAGAAAUGCUUUGAGACCUCAUUAACAGUUGCAACAUUAUUAAAGCUUCAUUAG